UACAGAGGUCUCGAGCGUUAGGCGGAAUCACUGGGCUUAAAGCGUGUGUAGGCGGAUGUUUAAGUGUCUUGUGAAAUCCCACGGCUCAACCGUGGAACUGCUGGGCAUACUGGACAUCUCGAGGCACUCAGGGGCGAGCGGAACAAGUGGUGGAGCGGUGAAAUGCGUAGAUAUCACUUGGAACGCCAAUGGUGAAGACAGCUCGCUGGGGGUGUCCUGACGCUGAGGCGCGAAAGCCAGGGGAGCGAACGGG
rnacentral:rRNA from 1 species